AUUGAACGCUGGCGGCAGGCCUAACACAUGCAAGUCGAGCGGAGCGGCGGACGGGUGCGUAAUGCCUAGGAAUCUGCAUGGUCGUGGGGGAUAAGGUCCGGAAACGGGCGCUAAUACCGCAAACUAUCGGAUUGGCCUAGGUCGGAUUAGCAAGUGGGUGGGGUAAAGGCCUACCAAGGCGACGAUCCGGAACUGGUCAGGGAGGAUGAUCAGUCACACUGGAACUGAGACACGGUCCAGACUCCUACGGGAGGCAGCAGUGGGGAAUAUUGGACAAUGGGCGAAAGCCUGAUCCAGCCAUGCCGCGUGUGUGAAGAAGGUCUUCGGAUUGUAAAGCACUUUAAGUUGGGAGGCGUUACCAACAGAAUAAGCACCGGCUAACUUCGUGCCAGCAGCCGCGGUAAUUC
rnacentral:rRNA from 1 species